rnacentral:rRNA from 1 species
CACAAGCGGUGGAGUAUGUGGUUAAUUCGAUGCAACGCGAAGAACCUUACCUGGUCUUGACAUCCCGGAGACCCUUAGGAACUAGGGGUGCUUCCAUCUGGAAGAAUCUGGAGACAGGUGCUGCAUGGCUGUCGUCAGCUCGUGUCGUGAGAUGUUGGGUUAAGUCCCGCAACGAGCGCAACCCUUGCCUUUAGUUGCCAGCAGUUCGGCUGGGCACUCUAAAGGGACUGCCGGUGUUAAACCGGAGGAAGGUGGGGAUGACGUCAAGUCCUCAUGGCCUUUAUGACCAGGGCUACACACGUACUACAAUGGCCGAUACAAAGGGCAGCGACACUGCGAGGUGAAGCCAAUCCCGUAAAAUCGGUCUCAGUCCGGAUUGGAGUCUGCAACUCGACUCCAUGAAGUUGGAAUCGCUAGUAAUCGUGGAUCAGCAUGCCACGGUGAAUACGUUCCCGGGCCUU